AAACCGACACAGGUGGUCAGGUAGAGAAUACCAAGGCGCUUGAGAGAACUCGGGUGAAGGAACUAGGCAAAAUGGUGCCGUAACUUCGGGAGAAGGCACGCUGAUGUGUAGGUGAAGCCCCUGCGGGUGGAGCUGAAAUCAGUCGAAGAUACCAGCUGGCUGCAACUGUUUAUUAAAAACACAGCACUGUGCAAACACGAAAGUGGACGUAUACGGUGUGACGCCUGCCCGGUGCCGGAAGGUUAAUUGAUGGGG
rnacentral:rRNA from 1 species